UACGUAGGUGGCGAGCGUUGUCCGGAUUUACUGGGCGUAAAGAGCGCGCAGGCGGUCCUUUAAGUCUGAUGUGAAAGCCCACGGCUCAACCGUGGAGGGUCAUUGGAAACUGGGGGGACUUGAGUACAGAAGAGAAGAGUGGAAUUCCACGUGUAGCGGUGAAAUGCGUAGAGAUGUGGAGGAACACCAGUGGCGAAGGCGACUCUUUGGUCUGUAACUGACGCUGAGGCGCGAAAGCGUGGGGAGCAAACAGG
rnacentral:rRNA from 1 species